UACGUAGGGACCAAGCGUUGUUCGGAUUUACCGGGCGUAAAGGGCGCGUAGGCGGCAUAUUAAGUCAGCUGUGAAAUCUCCGAGCUUAACUCGGAACUGUCAGCUGAUACUGAUGUGCUAGAGUGCAGAAGGGGCAAUCGGAAUUCUUGGUGUAGCGGUGAAAUGCGUAGAUAUCAAGAGGAACACCUGAGGUGAAGACGGGUGGCUGGGCUGACACUGACGCUGAGUGCGCGAAAGCCAGGGGAGCAAACGGG
rnacentral:rRNA from 1 species